GUGAUAAAAUCAAAUUCCUAAUAUUAGAUGGAACAUUUUUUAAAGUUGUAGAAACAUCCAGUGAUGAUGCUUCAGUAGUAGCAGCUUGUGUGAAAUGUGAGCCAAAAUAUGUAACUAUAAAAGAAAAUAGGUUUUCUUCAUCAAAUUACAUAUUGUAUAUAAAAAGGAGCAUGGGCAAGGAAUAUUUCUAGAAUAUGAAAGAUACAUGAUGAAACAACCUAGAAAACAUAGAACUAUUACCUUUGCAGUUCCAUUAGAGAUCAUAAAGUCAAAGAAGAUAACUGAAUUUGAAAAUAAUAUGGUUCAAUUUAUUAUACAUUCAAUAUGUCCAUUGCAUGUAAUAGAAGAUAGUUAUUUCAUUAAACUGUUUACAGAUUUAAAUAUUGAAGCAAGAGGUUUACAUAUGCUAAGCAAUAGAUCAUUAGU
rnacentral:lncRNA from 1 species